UUUUUUUUUUUUUUUUUUUUUACUUAGAAACAAUUUUUUUCCUUCUUUCUUUUCUUCCUUUUCCUUCCUUCCUUCCUUUCUCUCUCUCUCUCUCUUUCUUUCUUUCUGCUUUUUUAGGGCUGAACCUGUGACUUAUGGAAGUUAAACAGGCUACAGGUGGAAUUGGAGCUGUAGCCACUGGCCUACACCACAGCCACAGCAAUUCAGGAUCGGAGCCACAUUUGGACCUAUACCACAGCUCAAGGCAAUGCCAGAUCCUUAACCCACUUAGCGAGGCCAGGGAUCAAACCCACAUCCUCAUGGUUACUAGUCAGGUUCAUUGCCACUGAGCCACAAUGGGACUCCUAGAAAUAAUUUCAAACCUCACAAAGCUGCAGGGCAAGGACACACAUCAGAGACCCUGAGCCUCACCCCCCCAGGCCUAGAAGUCACUGCCCUGAACCACACUGGCUCCAGGCUGCCCUCAGGCCUUCGCCCCGGGACCACUGAGCUUUACCGACCCUUCACCUCUCUGUUUUAGAACACUGCCAUGGCUUUGGAUGUGCAUUGACAGUCCAAGCCCUGGUCUGUGUGUCUGCUGUCUCCUAGCAGCAGACCAAGGAGGUGGUUCUUGGCCCGCAUGCUGCCUAGCACCCGGUGACCCUUGCCCCGGGGGCUGCCAAUGUCCCUGUGGGACAGUGUAAGGGACACCAGAGGGUGUGUGAAUGGCCUGCCCUCCCCUCCACCCUCCAGGCCUCCUAGCCCAGCACACAUGCUCUCAGGAGUGCUUAGACCCUGCCCCACAGCCAGGGUCUGUGAGGCCCCAUCCUCCACACCCAGCCAUUCUGCCGUAAGCAUCCUUCAGCCCUAGAGACACCAGCUAGGGUGGAAGGUCAGGACGGGUCAGCAAGAUGUGCUAGCUAUACUCUGGAAUAUUCUCCCAGGAAACCCUCUCAUGGCUUGAGUCCUUCUUCCUGCAGACCCCAUGGUGGGCUCAGCCAGAAGCCUCUCUCGAGGCAGCCUCUCAGAGUCCCUGGUCCCCAGGGCCACUCGAAGCCCUGAAGUGGGGGUACAACCUGCAAAGCCACAGGACCCUGCCCUGGGUGGCCAGCCAAGUAUAAUGAUAGAACACAGAUCCAGUGUCUCUCUACAGCUCAGAGCCCUGGGGGUAAGGGCCCAGGUGAGGCAAACCCUCUGGGGAAGCUGGAACGCACACCUGAGGAGGGUGGUGGCGGAAGCCCAGGGCUGGGCCCCAGGCCUACCCUAGGCGGGAACACCCCCAUCAUGCGUCCCAGGGACCCCAGCCUCACUAGCUCCAUCCUGCUCAGCUGAGUGGUGAAUGCGUAGACCCUGGGCCAAUGCUGCCCCUUCUAACUGUCCCCGAGCCUCAGUUUCCUCAUCUGUGAAAUGGGGAUGUGCCUCACAGGCACUUCUGUUUGUGAGCCUGAGCCCAGAGCCAGCACCGAGAAGCCACCAGGUAUCACUCUUGUCACCAGUCGGGCUCUCACUACCCUUGGGGGAUGAGCCUUUCUGGGCCCUGGACCCCAUGACAGGCCUCACCAAAAGGAGGGAAGAUUAGUGCCUGAGGUGGGGGUGGGGCCUUCCUCACUGCCUGCUGGCAGGGAGCCUCUGCAGAAAACAAAUCUCCUAGUCCCAUGGUUUUCAAAGUGGGGUCCCUGGACCAGCAUCGGCAGCACCCAGGAGUUUGUGAGAAAUGCAAGACAUCUUCAGGUCCCACCCCAAGACUUGCUGAAUCUGAAACUUGAACCAUGAAUCAUGUGUCAUCAGGCCUUCUGGGGAAGUUUUGGGGUGGGGGGUGCUCUAGUUGAGAUGGCUCUGAUUGUUACUAAUCAUCCCUGUGAGCCCCACACUCACUGCUGGGGGUGGCAGUAUUUUGGGCUGGACUCAGGGCAGGGUCCUUGCUCAAGAAGAGGAAGGCUGGGCCCAGAGACACUGCAGAGAGAGGAAAGGUCUGGGGCAAGGCUGCUGUGUAUGGCUGUGCAGGUUGCUCACUGCACAAGGACACCCAGCAAAAGGGGUGGAGAAGCAGGGGCUGAAGAACAACACGCACACAGCUGAAAUGUGAUGAGGGAGGAUGCCACAUUCCAAUUCAGACAUUCACACAAGCUGUCUUCUCGCUGAGCUGGGCCUGACUCCUCAGUGGUGCCCUGAAGGAUGGGGCAGGCUGGGGUCUGUCGUCCCUCUUCAGGUGGCCAGUUUUAGCUCUGAAAGCCCCAUUUCCCAGAAAAUCUUAUAAAACCAAGUCCUGUGCCCUGGAAACCACCCCAGUUCUGGACACACUAGUCACCUGCUUCUGUUCCUAGGCCAAGAGCCCAAACAGUCCAAGCUGGGGUCUGGCUAUCCUGCCUGCCUCCUAGUGGCUCAGAAAUGCUGCUGGCCACCUAGGCCAGGAGGCCUGAGAUGCCAUGCCACCAUACCAGCUGGGGCUGGAGAGACAAGAUCAGAGUCCCCGGGCCCUGAUUGUCCUGGGAGAGCAGUGGGGAGCUCCUGUGCCUGUGCCCCCUACCUCUGGGCAUUAUGGUCCACCCACCCACCCAUCCACCCCCCUGUAAUCUGACCCAUCCAACCAUUCACCCUUCCACUAUCCACCGUCCAUUCAUCCACCCGCUCAUUCAUCCAUUCACCCUCCCACUAUCCACUAUCACACAUCCACCCACCCGAGGCUUACUGAGUACCUCUGCGCCUGCUCUAUUCCGGGCAGUGAACACAAACAGACACAAGUCCCUGUCCUCCUGAAGCCUACAAAGAAGAGGCCUGCAUGGGGUCAGGAGAUGGCCACAGAUGCUCUGGAAAGUCAACAGCAGAGCAGAGCCAGGGUUGCCAGCGAGGACCUCACUGAGAAGGCAAUACUUCUGAAAGGUGAGGCAGCAGGUUCCAGAGCUAUGGAGAAGAAAAGGAGUGGCACUGCAGGGAGAAGCAGGGGUCCCUGGGGGAGUGCCUCGAGAGCCCCACGAUGGAGCACCUGCGGCUUCUGUGAGGUAUGGAAAAUUCCUGAACGCCUAACAAUCAGCUCUUGCAAGGUGGCACACCGCCACAGCAUGCCCUCAGACUGGCAGGGCCAGGACUCUGCCCUCAGACUGGUGGAUAUGUGCAAAUAGGGCACUGCCCUCAACCUGGCAGGGGCAGGUCACGGACCUCAGCAGUGGGGCAGGAGUUGGUACAGAGAGGACACUUCCCUUAGAUCAGCAUAGUUAGGGUGCUGCCAUCAGACCAGCAGGGUUAGGGACACCACCUUCUGACUGAGGCAUCUGAGGAGCACCUGAGGCCCUGGGCUUUCUGGCAGUAACAGAGAAACGCCUCCUUAGCAGGGCAGCCCAGCCCAGGCUCAGCUGCACCCCCAGGAGGAAGCAUCUGCCUCCCAGGCUGGUGUAGGUAGGUAAUGCAUACUCCCCCCUGGUGAUCAGACCCUCAGGGUGUGGGGGGUUGGCGGCCAGCCCAGGGGGUGUGGCUGAGAAGGGGCCCAAGAGUCAGGAGACUGCAGUGUCCCAAGGCUGCCCCACAAGCUGCACAGGUUGGGGACAGGAACCCAUCUGUGCCUGGGACGCCCUGGCACCCCUCACCCCAACAGCGAGCAAACUCACCGGGACUCCAGACCCACACACCCCUUCACAGACCAGCACUUGCAGGAACACACUGUAGGAACUGCACCGAGAAUCCCAGAUGGCCCCCACGUCCAGACACGAUGCCCGCCUACUCCUACACCUGCCCACCUGGCCAAGACCCCCACAUGAAGUAGGGUGCACACGAGGUUCCCACGACCCUUAUAGCCCUUGUGCGCAGACGAGCAGAAACCGCUGCCCUCCCUAAACCGCUCUGUGCCUACAAUGCUCACACCGCCUGUGCUGACAGUGGGAUUGGUGGCCCUGGAGCUGCGUAGUGUGAGACCAGAAUGGCCAUUCGUGGUAACCCCUGCAGAAGCUCAUUAGCCAGUUUCACCCUCCUGAGCAUCAUCCCACAGAGCUCUCAGGCAGGCACAUGAGCUCACACACAUUCUCAGGGGCUCUGGGCCCUGACUCAUGCCUCUCCUCCUGAAUGCCAGCCCAGCCCAGCCCAGGGGUGGGAGGUGCUCUCAGACCCAUGGCUGGACCACACUGGCCUCCACACCUGCAGGCCUGGGAAGGGAAGAGGUAGGGCAAGGCCUGGCUGCAGCCCCUGGGGGACCCUGAGAAGGGGGCGGUGGCUGAGGCCACCCAUGGUCUCCCUCAAACCAGUGGGGGACAGGCCCUGGGGCGGGAGGAAGGAUCAGGCACCCGUCAAGCACCAGAAACCACCCCUUCGCCCCCAGUUGGCUGGGCCACUGUCCUGGUGAGAAGGGAGUCUGGAUCAGUGCCCACCCCUGGCCACCUCCAGGGUGCCCUUGCAGAAACCGAGCACAGGCUCCAGACAGCACCCUACCCUGUGUCCAUGAGCAAACAUGCAUGUGCACACACACUUGCCUCCCUGCUCUGGGGCCAUGUGGCAACUCAAGCCUGCGGUGGAGACCCCUCCUCCUUGCACUCCAUCUCCACCCCUGCUCCUCAUGGCACCCCGAUUUCCUCUCGGGGCCCCUGUGCAAACCGUUAAAGCCCCUGGGCCUCCUCAGGGGUCAGAUAUUAUGGGUCUCACCUCAGAGACCUUCCUGGGCCCCCUGGGUAUUCCAGUAUGCACCCCAAAGUCAAGAGGUCCCCUGCUGACUCAGCAGCCAAAGGUCAAGCCCAUGGCCCUGACUGGGCCCCCGCCAGCUGCCUAGGAGACGGAGCUGCGUUUAUCCAUGAGAACCAUCUGCCUUCUUGCCCCCAACCCCGCAGUCCCUGCUUGUUCCAGCUGAUCCCCCAUGUCCAGUGUGUUCUGUGGCCUUCCAUUAACCCUUGGUGCAGGUGCCUGGCAUGGCUAAGUGGGAGGUGACAGCCUGUCCCAUCUACCUGAAGCCCUCACAGUGCAUGGUCCGAGGCCUGGUCUAUGCCACAGCUGAGGACCACCCCACUGCCUCCUGGGCACCUCAGCCCCUGGCCCCUCCAUCAUUCCCUACAUCAUUGCCCCAAGGGCUGUAAACCUAGUUCUGCCCAGGAAGCCCCUUGAGUUUCCCCAGGCCUGGCAGCUCGCUGGCCCCAGGUGUGCUCUGUGGUGAACCUGGGUGGGAGCUGUCUCAGGGAGCCUGGGCUUCAGAGCAGCCCAGGGAGGGACAAGGCCCCCCAGGGAGGAGACACUUCAUGCACACUGUGCAAACACACCCACGAAGGGGGCUGAUGGGCAGAUGAGAGGCUGCAGUGUGUGAGGAAGGCCAGGGCCCUCCUCCCCAACUUGCCUGCACAGCCUCUCCUCUGCAUGCACAUGACAACCCCUCUGUAGGUCAGGGUGGAGAAGGAUCCCUUUGAGGCUCAGCAUUGAGGCAGGUGUCACCCAGCUGACAGCAGCGCCUGCUGGUGAAGCGUGGUAAUGCAGCUGUCGGUGCCCAGGGUGGUGAGAGGGGUGGCAAGGGGGGGGUCCUCAGGGAUGCAAGUAGGGGAUGGAGGCUCCAGGAUGAGGGAAUCAACAGUAAGGAGACCCUGGUGUCCCCUGUCCUCUGGGGUGGCUGGGCGUGGGCCCUGUUCCUUCCUGGGGUGCCUCCCGACCCUCCCUUCAUUCCUGCAUCAACCAGGCCAAUGAAGGCCCCUCAGGCUCCUUGUCCCCAAGUGUCCUUGCUGGACCAUUUGCUGUGGCCCCAGGUGUCCUUGCUGGUGCCCAUCAGGCAGGGGCUAUCCUUCAUCCCCACCAUCUAGCACAGGGCCUGGCACAAUGAGGGGUUUGGUGGUUCGUGGGUGACCGAGUAUUUCCACAGUCAGCUUGGGGUCAGGGAGCGAGCUGCUGCCCCCUGAGGCUGGCCACCCCCCUCCAACUGCUCCACAUCCUUCCUCUAGGAAAGGUGGACAGAUGGAUGGACAGAGAUGGGAUGGAGAUGACAACAGACUGCACAGGGGGUGCUGGCCACCACCCGAGGAGCAGGCUCUGGGGACACCAUCUGCACAUGAGCAAGUGUGUGCGUCGGGUUGCCCCACCUAUGCCUGUGUGGUCCUCCCUUCUGCUGGGGAACAGGGGCGGUGCAGCUGGGACCUGCCCCACAGUUGUGAUGUGGACGCUAGGUGUGUGUGCCACCAGAGCUGGAGCAGGGUCCUCUGUGCUCCAUCUCACCUCCUCUCAUUGGCUUAGCCGCUCAGCCUGCUCCAUCACUGUCCCUGUCUGUCCCCAUCUGUCCAGUUGACUCAAGCCACAAGCACCUCCCUCCAACUGUAACAGCCUUCCUCCUGGCGGUCCACACAGCUACCCAGCCCUCCUCCUCCUGCGUCAUUAGAAAUGUGACCCCUUCCCAGGCGUAUGGCUGGGGGCUCCUUGUCACUUGGGCCUCAGCUUGGGUCCAUCCCCUGGGAGAGGCCUCCCACCCCCCUGAUCUAAAGAAGCCCCCUUUCCAGGCAGGCCUGUUGUCACCUCAAAAUCCCCGACUCAUUUCAUGCCUGUCUGGAACUCAGCUCCCUGAGAGCAGGGACUGUCAUCUGUCUUAGUCAUCUUGGCACCCCAGGACUCAGACAGGGGGUGACAACAGAGCCCAAUGGGCUGACAACAUGCCAGACAGGGAGGAGAGGUAGGUGCCUGCCAUGCCCAGGUAUCCGCUCCCUGCCACCCUCCUCCCAGCUCUGUGCCCACCAGCAAGUUCCCCGCCCCAUGGGCCUGGUGCUUAGUCAUGAGGGCCACUUCUGGGGCGGGGGUUUGGGCUGCGAGCAGCCUUGCUUCUGUGCCCCACGACCCAGCCUGCUGGUCCCUAAGGGCCCCAGGCCCCAGCCCAGGUGCCCAAGCUGCAGAACGGCCAAGGGCUUGGCCCACGGGCAUUGCCAGGAUGGCUGCCUGAGGGAACCAGGGGAGCCUGCCAAGGAGGCCAAAGCCAAGCGGGAGAAACCAUUAUGCUGUGAAGAACAUGAUAAAGCAGAAAGUGCAAUAACAACAGCAAACAUGUGGAUCUAGCACGGCACAGGCCGUGAAGCCAGCUGAGUCUUUCAUCUCAACCACCUGAGAAACAAGUAGUCCUGAGGCCCCACUUGACAGAUGAGGAAACUGGCCCAGAAAGGAGGAGUCACUGGCCUGGGGCCAUGGAGGCAGCAGGGGCAGGCGUCUUUGUAUGGAGCCAAACCUCCUGUGUGGGGCGGGCACAGUGACAGCCUGGCGCAGCAAGAGGAGGGCUGAAGAGUCACCCAGAGCAGCCCCAUGCGGCUGCCCUCAAGCUACAGCCCAGGCCUCAGGACAGGUGCAGGGGGGAGGAACCAUUCAGACCUUGUACAGUGGCUGGGCCGGGGCUAGCAUGGGUCUUUUUUUUUUUUUUUUUUUUUUUUUGGUCUUUUUAGGGCCACACACACGGCAUAUGGAAGUUUUCAGGCUAUGCGUCAAAUUGGAGCUACAGCUGCUGGCCUACGCCAGCCACAGCAAAGUGGAAUCCAAGUUGCGUCUUCAGUCUACACCACAGCUCACAGCAAUGCCAGAUCCUUAACCCACUGAGUGAGGCCAGGGAUCAAAUCCACGUCCUCAUGGAUCCUAGCUGGGUUCUUAACACGGUGAGCCACAACGGGAACUCUUGGUUCUGCUUUAUUUAUUCCUCUUUUUAGGGCUGCACCCACGGCAUGUGGAAGUUCCCAGGCUAGGGGUUGAAUUGGAGCUACCGCUACCGGCCUAAACCACAGCCACAGCAAUGCCAGAUUCGAGCUGCAUCUGCGACCUACACCACAGCUCACCCCAACGCUGAAUCCUUAACUGAGUGAGGCCAGGGAUCAAACCUAUGUCCUCAUGGAUACUAGUCAGAUUCGUUUCCACUGAGCCACGAAAGGAACUCCCGGGUUCUGACUUUAAAUGAACUCACUGAAUCUGAAAACCCCUAAGGAGUGUCAUUAACCCCCUGUACAGAUAAGAAAACUGAGGCACUGAGGGGCAGUCACCCGCCCAAGGCCACAGUGCUAACAAGUGUCAGCUACCACGAUGCUCAUAUGCCAAAGGCCAGGGUGACUUUUCUGGAAGGACUCAAGCCAGCCCAGUCUGGAAACUUGUCUUGUGAGUGAGGAGAAAAGCCCUCAACGAACUGGCAAAUAGAUGUGAUGCUGAGGAGCACAGACAGGCCGAACUCUGUGUCACUCCCUCAGCACUUACUGGGGCUCCAGAGGCCCAGGCCUUGCCAGACUUGGGGUUACCAGGCCUGGUUUGGGGUGCAGGUAAAAAGUGGGCAAUCGUACCAUGGAAGUGGGGAAGCUGAACCCCAGGGUGAGUUACCCAGAAAGUAGGCAGGUUGGGGGGUGGGGUGGUCAGGCCCCAAAGGACCUCAUGGGGCAUCCCCAGGAGCCAGGACUUUGUCUGCAGAUGAAGGGAACCUUCUGGAAUGCUUUCAGCAGGGCAAGAGCAUGCUCAGAUGGGCUCCUCAGAGGAGCCUCACAGCCUGCAGAAGGGCAGGGAGACAGGAGACAGUGGCUGCCACUGCUUCAGUCUUUCAGGGAAAGGUCAGGGUCAAGGGCACAGAUCCUGGAGCCAAGCCACCUAGUUUGAACCCUGGCUCAGCUGCUUUUUCUGCUUGUCUUGGGCAAGUUACUUGGAUGCUUCUUUGGUUUUAUUUGUUUGUUUUUCUGUCAGUAUCCUCAUCUGAAAAACAGGCUUGUCUGACAGGGUGUGGUCAGGCUAACCAUACUCGGUGAAACCUGGAGAUAGUGCCUGGGACAACUAUGGAAGGUCAGCUUCUCUUAGCUGUUAAGAUGGUGGCGGGCUGGCAGUGAUGGGUAUGCACUGACAUCCAGACUACAAAUUCAAUUUAAUAGAUACAGGACUAUUCAG
ensembl:lncRNA